rnacentral:rRNA from 1 species
CUUGGUCAUUUAGAGGAAGUAAAAGUCGUAACAAGGUCUCCGUUGGUGAACCAGCGGAGGGAUCAUUGCUGGAAGCGCCGCAAGGCGCACCCAGAAACCCUUUGUGAACUUAUACCUACAUCGUUGCCUCGGCGCUGGCUGCCCCUCCCUCUGGGGAGGGGGCCCUGCCCUCCGGUCGUAAAACACCUGGGGAAAAGGACAGCAGGCCCGCCGGUGGCCCAACAAACUCUUGUUUUUACCGAGUAACAUCUGAGUAAAGCUUCUAAAUAAAUUAAAACUUUCAACAACGGAUCUCUUGGUUCUGGCAUCGAUGAAGAACGCAGCGAAAUGCGAUAAGUAAUGUGAAUUGCAGAAUUCAGUGAAUCAUCGAAUCUUUGAACGCACAUUGCGCCCUCUGGUAUUCCAGAGGGCAUGCCUGUUCGAGCGUCAUUUCAACCCUCAAGCCCAGCUUGGUGUUGGGGCAUUACCUUCCCUCACGGGAGGGUAAGCCCUGAAAUUUAGUGGCGAGCUCGCCAGGACUCCGAGCGCAGUAGUAAAACCCUCGCUCUGGACUGUACUGGCGCGGCCCUGCCGUAAAACCCCCAACUUCUGAAAAUUUGACCUCGGAUCAGGUAGGAAUACCCGCUGAACUUAAGCAUAUCAAUAAGCGGAGGA